rnacentral:rRNA from 1 species
GAUGAACGCUGGCGGCGUGCCUAAUACAUGCCAGUCGAGCGAACAGACGAGAGUGCUUGCACUCUCUGACGUUAGCGGCGGACGGGUGAGUAACACGUGGGUAACCUACCUAUAAGACUGGGAUAACUUCGGGAAACCGGAGCUAAUACCGGAUAAUAUUUAGCUUCGCAUGAAGCAAUAGUGAAAGACGGUUCUGCUGUCACUUAUAGAUGGACCCGCGGUGUAUUAGCUAGUUGGUGAGGUAACGGCUCACCAAGGCAACGAUACAUAGCCGACCUGAGAGGGUGAUCGGCCACACUGGGACUGAGACACGGCCCAGACUCCUACGGGAGGCAGCAGUAGGGAAUCUUCCGCAAUGGACGAAAGUCUGGCGGAGCAAUGCCGCGUGAGUGAAGAAGGUUUUCGGAUCGUAAAACUCUGUUGUAAGGGAAGAACAAGUACGUUAGUAACUGAACGUACCUUGACGGUACCUUACCAGAAAGCCACGGCUAACUACGUG